UGCAUAAAAUGGAGGCCAGUGCUAAU
rnacentral:piRNA from 1 species